rnacentral:rRNA from 1 species
UACAGAGGGUGCAAGCGUUAAUCGGAAUUACUGGGCGUAAAGCGCGCGUAGGUGGUUUGUUAAGUUGAAUGUGAAAUCCCUCGGCUUAACCGGGGAACUGCGUCUGAUACUGGAUGGCUUGAGGUUGGGAGAGGGAUGCGGAAUUCCAGGUGUAGCGGUGAAAUGCGUAGAUAUCUGGAGGAACACCGGUGGCGAAGGCGGCAUCCUGGACCAAUUCUGACGCUGAGGAGCGAAAGCCAGGGGAGCAAACGGG